CCCACAGUCGAGAGACCGGCAUCGCUGGAGUGGUGGUUCGUCUGUUUCCUCUGGAUAUAUACAUCAAGUAUUGAGAAGAAAGAAUAUCAAGAGCUAAAUGUUCUUUUUAAACGGGUAGUUGCUGCUCAGAAAAUAAAGAUGCAGACCCAGAGUCAGUGGUUUAUACGUUCUUCAUGCAAGAGCAUUAUACUGAAGGAGAGAGUCUUUUCUUUUUGUCAGAAGCUGUGUUGAUCAGUGACUGUGGUGAAGGCUGAGAAAGUUGAAGCAAAUUUGCAGGUGAUACAAACUUCUAAGGUAAGCUAACAUACUGGAUUGGCCAAAAAGUUCAUUUGGGUUUCUCCAUAUCAUCUAUAAUAACUCAGUCAAGAUUAUA
rnacentral:lncRNA from 1 species